GGCUGGCUGUGUAGUCCAGGCUGCCUUUGAACUCCAAGAUCUUUCUGCCUCAGCCUCCCAAGUGCUGGGAUUAUAGGCCUGUCCCACCACAAUUGGCUACCACAAAGGUUUUCAAAGGUCCAGCUUGGCUGUUCUAGGACAUCAUAUGAAUACAAUCAUACAAUGUGGACUCUGGGCAAGGCUUCCACCACUCCUCCUGAUGUUUCUGAGAUUCAUCCAGGUUCCUGCAUAUCUUUGUGUCUUCACCGCCUACAAAGCUCUGGUUCUCAAUCAAGUGCUCUCAGCGAAAGAAAUUCAUAAUUGGAAUCCAGGAAGGCAUGACUGAUGGCCAACCCAUGCUUGUGAGCCUUGAUAGCAUAGUAAAAAUCACACCCUGAGGUAGAGACUUAAGAUGGCAAUGGAACAUGCAUGGGAUAAAGAAACAUGACAACGAAGACUGCAACUAGAACUCCACUUCUCCCUACCCUGACAUGGAGAGACCAGGCCUUGUCUACCUCACAGAUGCCAUAGAAGGUUUUGUCCUUCGUUUGGGUCAGCCUGGGGUUCCUCUCCCUCACAGUUUUCCCCUUGUGCUCUAGCCUAAGAAUAAAAGCCUUAUGUCCAUGCCCAAAUGUUCUUGUCUGAUCCUUUUGAUGGAGGCCACAAACCCCGCGGAGGCGCUAACAUAUUCACAGCAAUUAAAUUCCUAAUGAAAAUCCUUAUUACUGAAAUCAGUAGCAGAUGAAUGCUGAGAACUCU
rnacentral:lncRNA from 1 species